ACUCGGGGAUAGCCUUUCGAAAGAAAGAUUAAUACCCGAUAGUAUAAUCAUUCCGCAUGGUCUGAUUAUUAAAGGAUUCCGGUAAAGGAUGGGGAUGCGUUCCAUUAGGUUGUUGGUGAGGUAACGGCCCACCAAGCCUUCGAUGGAUAGGGGUUCUGAGAGGAAGGUCCCCCACAUUGGAACUGAGACACGGUCCAAACUCCUACGGGAGGCAGCAGUGAGGAAUAUUGGUCAAUGGGCGCGAGCCUGAACCAGCCAAGUAGCGUGAAGGAUGACUGCCCUAUGGGUUGUAAACUUCUUUUAUAUUAGAAUAAAGUGCAGUAUGUAUACUGUUUUGUAUGUAUAAUAUGAAUAAGGAUCGGCUAACUCCGUGCCAGCAGCCGCGGUAAUACGGAGGAUCCGAGCGUUAUCCGGAUUUAUUGGGUUUAAAGGGAGCGUAGGUGGACUGGUAAGUCAGUUGUGAAAGUUUGCGGCUCAACCGUAAAAUUGCAGUUGAUACUGUCAGUCUUGAGUACAGUAGAGGUGGGCGGAAUUCGUGGUGUAGCGGUGAAAUGCUUAGAUAUCACGAAGAACUCCGAUUGCGAAGGCAGCUCACUGGACUGCAACUGACACUGAUGCUCGAAAGUGUGGGUAUCAAACAGGAUUAGAUACCCUGGUAGUCCACACAGUAAACGAUGAAUACUCGCUGUUUGCGAUAUACAGUAAGCGGCCAAG
rnacentral:rRNA from 1 species